rnacentral:rRNA from 1 species
GCAUAUCAAUAAGCGGAGGAAAAGAAACCAACAGGGAUUGCCCCAGUAACGGCGAGUGAAGCGGCAACAGCUCAAAUUUGAAAUCUGGCCCCAGGCCCGAGUUGUAAUUUGCAGAGGAUGCUUUUGGCGCGGUGCCUUCCGAGUUCCCUGGAACGGGACGCCAUAGAGGGUGAGAGCCCCGUACGGUUGGACACCAAGCCUUUGUAAAGCUCCUUCGACGAGUCGAGUAGUUUGGGAAUGCUGCUCUAAAUGGGAGGUACAUUUCUUCUAAAGCUAAAUAUUGGCCAGAGACCGAUAGCGCACAAGUAGAGUGAUCGAAAGAUGAAAAGCACCUUGAAAAGAGGGUUAAACAGCACGUGAAAUUGUUAAAAGGGAAGCGCUUGUGACCAGACUUGCGUCCGGUGAAUCACCCAGCUCUCGCGGCUGGGGCACUUCGCCGGCACAGGCCAGCAUCAGCUUGCCGUCGGGGACAAAAGCUUCAGGAACGUGGCUCCUCUCGGGGAGUGUUAUAGCCUGUUGUAUAAUACCCUUCGGCGGGCUGAGGUACGCGCUCCGCAAGGAUGCUGGCGUAAUGGUCACCAGCGACCCGUCUUGAAACACGGACC